rnacentral:rRNA from 1 species
UACAGAGGGUGCAAGCGUUAAUCGGAAUUACUGGGCGUAAAGCGUGCGUAGUCGGUUAUCUAAGUCGGAUGUGAAAUCCCCGGGCUCAACCUGGGAAUUGCAUUCGAAACUGAAUAGCUAGAGUUCGGCAGAGGGGAGUGGAAUUUCCGGUGUAGCGGUGAAAUGCGUAGAUAUCGGAAGGAACAUCAGUGGCGAAAGCGACUUCCUGGACCAGAACUGACGAUCAGGCACGAAAGCGUGGGGAGCAAACAGG